rnacentral:piRNA from 1 species
UUACAAGAAGAGAUGAAAAGACUCGGA